GAUGAAGACGCAGUGAAAUGCGAUAAGUAAUGUGAAUUGCAGAAUUCAGUGAAUCAUCGAAUCUUUGAACGCACAUUGCGCCCGCCAGUAUUCUGGCGGGCAUGCCUGUUCGAGCGUCAUUUCAACCAUCAAGCCCCCGGCUUGUGUUGGGGACCUGCGGCUGCCGCAGGCCCUGAAAAGCAGUGGCGGGCUCGCUGUCACACCGAGCGUAGUAGAUUUCAUCUCGCUCAGGGCGUGCUGCGGGUUCCGGCCGUUAAACCACCUUCAUAACCCAAGGUUGACCUCGGAUCAGGUAGGAAGACCCGCUGAACUUAAGCAUAUCAAUAAGCGGAGGA
rnacentral:misc_RNA from 1 species